AUUGAACGCUGGCGGCAUGCUUUACACAUGCAAGUCGAACGGCAGCACGGACCUCGGUCUGGUGGCGAGUGGCGAACGGGUGAGUAAUACAUCGGAACGUGCCCAGUUGUGGGGGAUAACUACUCGAAAGAGUAGCUAAUACCGCAUGAGAACUGAGGUUGAAAGCAGGGGAUCGUAAGACCUUGCGCAACUGGAGCGGCCGAUGGCAGAUUAGGUAGUUGGUGGGAUAAAAGCUUACCAAGCCGACGAUCUGUAGCUGGUCUGAGAGGACGACCAGCCACACGGGGAGUGAGCCACGGCCCAGACUCCUACGGGAGGCAGCAGUGGGGAAUUUUGGACAAUGGGCGAAAGCCUGAUCCAGCAAUGCCGCGUGCAGGAUGAAGGCCUUCGGGUUGUAAACUGCUUUUGUACGGAACGAAAAGCUUCGGGCUAAUACCCUGGAGUCAUGACGGUACCGUAAGAAUAAGCACCGGCUAACUACGUGCCAGCAGCCGCCGUAACAC
rnacentral:rRNA from 1 species